GGUUUAAUUCGAAGCAACGCGAAGAACCUUACCAGGUCUUGACAUCUUCUGACAAUUCCAGAGAUGGAACGUUCCCUUCGGGGACAGAAUGACAGGUGGUGCAUGGUUGUCGUCAGCUCGUGUCGUGAGAUGUUGGGUUAAGUCCCGCAACGAGCGCAACCCUUAUUGUCAGUUGCCAUCAUUAAGUUGGGCACUCUGGCGAGACUGCCGGUGACAAACCGGA
rnacentral:rRNA from 1 species